GAGAAUUGCUUUGGUGGAUAAGCAAACACGCUCAGAAAAUGAAAUUGUUGAAUCAAAUUUGAAGGAGCAAGUACAUGUUACUAAUAAAGAAAGCUUAAAAACAAAUUAUUUAAAAGCAGGAAAAGCAAAAGCUGGAGCCGAGAAUAAGGAUGCAAUUGACUGGGAUAGUUUAAGGAAGCAGGUGCAGGCAAAUGGUAGCAGAAAAGAAAGAAGCCAAGAUACAAUGGACUCCUUGGACUAUGAAGCAAUGAGAUGCGCUAGUGUCAAUGAGAUUUCUGGUGCUAUUAAAGAAAGAGGGAUGAACAA
rnacentral:misc_RNA from 1 species